AGAAAACAAAAGCACUGGUACCAAGCUGAGCCCAGUGGAUGAAUCAGGAAUAAAAAGAAAGCUAAUUUUGCAUGAGCAUGCAGGAAGUCUGCAGACAGACAUUCUACAUAGUCCCUUGGGGACUCAGUAGAAGUGGAAUCAAGACCAACCCAAGCCCAACAAGGCAGCUCCGCUGGUUAAUGCCUCCCAGAUCUGUCAUCUGUGAUAAAGAGCCUCGCUGUAGCUGAGGAGCUGGCCAAGAACCUUUCCCAGUUAGCCAAGUUCGUGAAGAAGUCACAUGUGGUGAAUAUAUUAUCAUCAGAAUGCGGAGCAAUGAAAUGUAAACAGAUAGGAAUCGUCACUAAAGCUCCAACUGCAGCCUCCGGGUGCCAUAGCUUUUGCACCAUCCAUUUGCACCAUCUCUGCAGUAAGUCCUAGCUCAAGCCUUACUCCAAAGUACAAAUUAGCAUAGCAGCUCAGUCAACAAUGCCUCCGAGCUUCUGGAAAGAAAGAUGCUCAGUCACCAUAGACCCAGAAUUAAUGAAAAGUCACAGAAAUAAUAGCUCCAUUCUCUACUUGCUUCUGAACCUCAAAUCAGUGGUUGGCAACAAGGUAAGGGACUUACAGAAACUGCUGAAAGGACUUUCCGGUAAAUAGAGCGCCAAGAGGAGUUUGCUUUGGAUAUCUGCUCUGACUAAACCAUAUAUGUGCUUGUGCUACAAAACCUCUAGUUCCCAUUCUUGACCUGAAUCCCUUUUCUAGUUGGGAAUUUCUUGCUUCUCUUUUUAUUUUUUUUUCACCUGAUCAAGUUACAAGAAUUAGAUGAUAUAUAUAGAUACACAUACAUACAUACAUAUAUAUAUUAGAUAUAAUUCGCCUAUAUUUCAGCUAGAAGAUAACUUUUGGAGAAAAACAAUUUUUUUUCUGCUUAGUUGUGAGAAAAUGCCAGCAACAUAAAUUUCAGACCUCACAAAUAAGAACCAAUUUUUCUUUCAAUAGAAAUGAGCGGAGUGUUCGAGUAGAGAAUUGUCACUAUCAAUACUUGCCCAAAAGACUGAAUGGUCAUUAUCUAUUCCCAAGUUGUGAUAGAUAUGAAACAAGCAAUACCAUAAUGUUUUGCUUUCCUCCCUCUCACAGGGAAGGAGCAAGGGGCUUUGAGGGAGCCUUCUGAGAGGAGGAAGACCAUACUUAAUGCUAAUAACACGGGGAAGACGGAGACUGGGGAUUGCAGUACAGAGUUUUGAGUUUCCAAAAAAUUUUUGAUAAUGAUCCUGUUCUAGGGAUUUGAUGAGCGACAAACAUAAAAAUUUUAAAGUGAUCCAGAAACCUUUAAAACGAGAUCUAUCAUAUGACAAAUGCUCAUAAAUAGCAUGAGGAUUAGAUAAAAGAGGUUACUGACUUCCUCAAGGUGCCCAGAAAAUAACUGACAGCAUCCCAAGAACACAGUCCUUACUGUCCAGUACAAGCUCCUCUUCACUGUCCCAAGCCACACAUGUACUCUGAGCACACGUGUUAAUGAGACUCGUAUUGUGUAGUAAUUCUACUCUGAAGUUUGUUGCUUUGGCCUAUGGAUAGAUUGAGAACCUUCGAAGCAAUUAGCACCAAUGAUUGUUAGAAUGAGAGGAGCAAGGUUAGUGAUCUGCUCUAAAGAAGCAAGUGGCACCAUGCUGUGUGAGCUGACCAUUAGUCAGCAUCACUUUAACCCAGGAAAGCCUGCUGCUGAAGUGGCCUAAGGUGAUGAAUCACAAGGAGCAUCUUGCUCUUGACUUGGCUGCCAUUAAAGUGAUGCCAAGCACCACAUAACCAACUGAAAGGCGUCAAGGGGUUGGCAAGCCACUUGCACAACAGAGUUUGAUGUUAAGCAUCUGGGAGUUUCCAGCAUAUGAAGGAUACAUGGGGGUUCCGAAAUUACCUACAUCACUGAGCACUGUACAGCUGUCACUUAAUAUUUAAACUGGAUGAGAAAUCACAAAAACUCUGGUUUCUCAAAAGCAGAACUACAAGCUGUCAAAGUUGUUGGGUCCUUGGAGGCUAUCCCAACUUAAUUACUUAUUUCACAAAUGGAGAAACGUGCCAUUAUUCAUGUGGGCAGAAGAAAGAAUACGGAGCUAGAAUCCUUCCUGGGUAUCUUGUUUUAGGGGAUUAUAGACAUAGACUCUUAAGGAACACCAUCUGUGCAAGAGGCACAGCGCACUGACUAAAUGCAUGCUGAGAGUCUCCUGGUUAAAUCCACCCUCUUCCUGUUUCACUUCACAUGCAGAUGCUGGAAAGGGUAGGGACCUAAUGAGAGGCAGCAGUCAGCCCCUCCCAGCUGUUCUUGCUCUAACCACAUCCUGGUCAGGUGCCAUUAUUCCCUGGCUCCCCUGACUUAUUCUUCACACUGUCCUCACUGAUGAUGGCUUUCCUAAAGCACUGUUGCCCUUCCAAAAACACUCCAACAAGGCAAUUUAUAGCUGACCUAUGUUUUUCUAAUAAUGUUUUCUCUCCUCUCUUCAUCCUGGAAAUCCACGUGUCUCAGUUGCUCUCAAUCACUGCCACGAGUCUGGUGAUGCGCUAAGCUCGGGGCAGGAUCUCAAGGGCUUUGAGGUAAAUAAGGUACCCUCUGUGGGCUCUGUUUCAAUUAGAUGCUAGAGCAAUUGUCAUCAUUUUAGAGAACAAAGAUACUGUGAUCGAAAACCGUGAAGGCUGCUGUCUAUGUCAUGCUUGUCCCUAGUUUACAUGCAUUUUCCAGAUAACCAAAUCCAAUAAGCCCUGAGUGCACCCUGAUCCCCUCUCCACUCCCGUGUCAGCUCCAAAUGGAUGGAAGAUGACAGGAAGGAACUAGCUGGGACACAGAGCAAAACUUCUAGAGUUAAUGAGACAGUAACUCUCAUCUUAGUUCCUGAUGAAGGACCUAAAGCUGUUUGGUGUGGCUAGGAGCAUAUGAUUUUCCUGAGGGACCUGUUAAACAAGUCCCAUCUCUCUUGAGUUUCAGCUUACAUAGCCAGAAAAUAAAUCCUUUCCCUGUUCCAAGCAAAGUACUAGGACAUCUUGCUUCUCUUGCCUCUACAGACAGCAAGAUGACUUCAUGGCUUUCUCUUUCACCACAGUCACUGGUGCUCAGUACAAAUGAGACUCACCUUAGAAAGAAAGAAAAGAAAGAAAGAAAGAGAAAAAGAGGGGGAGGGAGAGAGGAGGGAGGGAGAAAGGGAGGAAAGAAGGAAGGGAGGGAGGGAGGGAGGAAGGAAGGAAGGGUGGAUUUGGAAAACACACUUACAGCCUCCUAGAGAGGAAAUAGGCCGUGAAACCUAAUGAAGAAAGAACCAUAGACCAAGGUCACAACAGCAAAAACAGAAAGAAAAAAUAUGAGCACAUUACUUCGUAGAAGUAAUACAUAAAACAUCUGCAGCAGAGGCAUUAUCUUCUACUUAAUGAGCUAAAUGCAUUAUUUAUUAAUCCUGUUAUAUGUGUGUAUCAGAGGUCAGAGGGAAACUUGUAGGAGUCGAUGUUCUUAUUCCUUGUGUCUGGAGAAUUGAACUCAGCCUAUUAGGGUUGGUGGCAAAGGAAUAGUUAUAAACAGACCACCCCCCCCCCAAGCGACCACAUGUAACUCAUUGAUUUUGGCAGGAUGUCUGCAUCAUCUGUAUUGACCUGCUCCCCAGAUUAAUACCGAAGCACUGCAAUUUCUUGAGGAUUAUCCACCUAGGAGGAAAUGAUACGCUGGCCCAUCCAUAGUAGUCAAGAAACAGUCUGAGAUCCAAAAAGUGGCUUAAAAGAGGGAAAAGUUAAUCAAAAUGUCUGUGAAGCUCUGGCUUCAGUCUCUCCAGCGAGGCUUUCUGAAGCACAGCUCUGAUAGAACUAAACCCAAUGAGACACCGCCUACAAGAGGAAUCCAGCGUGUGAACGAAGACUAAAAAGCAAAACAGCAGCGUCUGGAGUGGACAGCUUCUCUCACUCAGAGAACUGUAGCCUCAAAUUCCUGGCAGAGGUUUCUUGGAAGAGAAGAAUGAGAUUGGAUCUGAGAAAAUGUGGCUGGUAAUGAACUCUACGAAGGGAUUUUUAUACUCUCUCUUUGGCAGUCCAUCCUGUGAAAUAAUAAUGAGGUUGGAGGAUGGCUGCUAACCAUCCCUUGCUUUUCCGUGCCAGGGAACCACCAUCUCAGAUGGUAGAAACCACUCAGAAGGAUCAACUGCUGCAGACGGGAAGAGGAGCAACCUCGUGAAUAAUUUCGUGACAGGAUAUUGCAGGAGGGACUUUGUCCAAAUGUGUGCAGGGUAGUUGGCUACAGCAACAAGGAUGACGAACACAGAUGAAUUGAUCAGGAUGUAACCAUUCAAAGUUGAGAGGAUUAGAGGACUUCUCCGAGGCGGCUCCAAUGGAUGCCAGCAGAGUUAAAGUGUCCAAUGGAGAGAAGAGAAGGCUUGGGAAAUCCAGAGUCCAUUCAUUCAUCGCCCUCCUCCUAGAACAACAAAAGCGAGCCCCAGUACUCAUCAGCAUGGACUCUGUGUGUAGUCAUCUCCCUUAGUUUCAGAGGUUCCUGCCUACAGCAAAACUUUAGAGGCUUAGAGUUUAACGGUCAUAGCUUAUUCACCUCCAACUGUGUCCUAGUUCAAGAGAAACACUUCACAUAUCUGUAGGGAGAAGAUAAUGAACCAAGGAUACAAGUUAAGCCUUAGCUAAGACCUGUUACUCAGGAAAAAGAGCUAAAACAAGCUGCUUAGAUCAGCACCAAUGUUAGGUAGAGAGAAAAAGAAACGCUGCAUAGAAAUCUUAAGGUUCACAUGUGCUCCAGGCUGGGUCAACAACUUCUAAUUUCCUUUGCCAACCAACCAUGUCUUUGACAGAAAUGAUCCUUCUACAUAGACCACAGAGGGAUCCAAUGGAGGUUUCUCUUCCUGAAUUUGGGGAUUCAGAAUCUGGACAAAUUCCUUUCCAUCAAAGUCCAGUACAAAAGUAGUACCAUGGCAGUCCCUGCAGGGACUUGCAUCACUUUCCCUAGAGAUAUCAAGAGAAUUUUUAGUGAUAAGAAUAUGGCACAAAAUGAGAAAUCCCAUUACUCUUAAGAGAAUCUCUUCCUUCUCAAAGGCACCUGAUUAAUACAUAUAGUACUAUCAGUAAGGCUGAGCAAAAGGAUACUGAUGUUCUGAGUGAUCUUAAAUCAUGUAAUAAUAACUUUAUUCGUAGUAUAGAACGGAAUAUUCCCUAUUAGUAAUCAGUUCCUUUGCCAGAUCCUCAUAGUAUCUUAGUCACUGUUUUAUUGUUAUGAAGAGAAACUUUGACCACAGCACCUCUUAGAAAAAAGGAAGCAUUUAAUCGGGACUUCCUUAUGGUUUCACAGUUUUACAUAAUUGUCAACAUGGCAGAGAACAUGGGGGCACGCAAACAGACAUGGUGCUGGAGAAGUAGCGGAGAAUAUACAGCAACAUAUAGAUACAAAAUAUAGAUACAUAUAGAUACAGAAUAUAGAUACAUAUAGCUACAUAUAGAUCUGCAGGCAGCAGGAAGAGACUGGGACAAGGCCAUACCUUCUAAGGCUUCUCAAGGAGUGUCACUUCCUGAUGACCAAGCAUUCAAGUGUAUGAGCUUAUGGGAGCCAUUCUUAUUCAAGCCACCACACAUAGCAAAGCUGAUAAUGUCAUUUUCUGAAUUAACCAGGCCAAGGCACACUUCUUAGCAACAUGGUUACCUGGUAACCAGAGAUUUUUCUCAUCCCAUGAGAGAUUUCAUUCAAGAACUGAUCUUCUAACAGUUUUGUCUCUCUUAAGAAUGCUACAGACAGGGUGGGGUGAGGCACAGUGCUGAAGCCCCUCAAGUUUCCCAGAGGGAUGAGUCCAUGAAAGACGAAAAUCAUGUGGUCACACUGAGCAUAGACUUCACAAGCAUCAUGCUAGGAUUCCAUUUUCUUUCUCAACACAAUGAUAAAUUCUUCUUCCAAUAAGCAGAAAAUCAUCCAAUGGGAAAAAAAAAUAAAACCAACUAACUUGCAGUCCUUUGGAACAGUUUCAUAGCUUACAGGAUGGCUUCAUAACCCUGGGGACACUCGUUUUGACAUGAAAACUUCCUUCAGAACAGGAAUUCUGAUCCAACAUGUGCUCAGACAUCAUUUCAGUCACUUGCAAAUGAACAAGAAAGCUCAUGUAAAUGAGGAGGCUCAACUCCCAGGCCUGGUGAGUGGGUAAGACAUUCCUCUGCUGGGUUUUGAAGGCUGUCUGAAACCAUCGGCUGACAUCCUUCUCUGUGUGCAUGUAUGCACUAUCUACGGGAAAUUCAGCUCCAACCGGUUGUCUCUACAGCUCCCUUAAUCUUCUCCUCCCUCCUCCUGGCAUUGGCAUGUGUCCCAGGACUGCAGCGAGGAGUGCUUACCAACAAAGGUGCUGGCAUCUGCAUUUGUUUCACAGCCACAAACCUAAUGGUUCCAUGAUUUUGGCGAGCAAAACUGUCAAAAUGCCUGAGCACAAGAGAUCACAAGAUGAGCCAAGGCAUAGUGUGCAUGCCUUCCUUCCCAGCACUCGGAAGGCAGAGGCAAGGGGAUCUCUGUGGGUUCAAGGCCAGCCUGAAUCACAAGGUGUACUGGGGAUUCUUUUUUAUUGUUUUCCUUUUGCUAUCUGGAAUAGUUUGAGAUUGUAUUUGAUCAGUGCAUUAAACAACCAAUUAAAUAA